rnacentral:rRNA from 1 species
CCUACGGGCGGCAGCAGUGAGGAAUAUUGGUCAAUGGGCGCGAGCCUGAACCAGCCAAGUAGCGUGAAGGAUGACUGCCCUACGUGUUGUAAACUUCUUUUAUAAAGGAAUAAAGUGAGGCACGUGUCCCUUUAUGUAUGUACUUUACGAAUAAGGAUCGGCUAACUCCGUGCCAGCAGCCGCGGUAAUACGGAGGAUCCGAGCGUUAUCCGGGUUUAAUGGGUUUAACGGGAGCGUAGGUGGGUUGUUAAGUCAGUUGUGAAAGCUUGCGGCUCAACCGUAAAAUUGCAAUUGAUACUGGCAGCCUUGAGUACAGGUGAGGUAGGCGGAAUGCGUGGUGUAGCGGUGAAAUGCGUAGAGAUCACGAAGAACUCCGAUUGCGAAGGCAGCUUGCUAGACUGCCACUGACGUUGAUGCUCGAAAGUGUGGGUAUCAAACAGGAUUAGAUACCCCUGUAGUC